GUCCGGUAGGAUAAAAAGGUGGAAGAAGAGUGAAUUUGCUCUUUCCCUCCUUAAGCUGAGAUAUCUGUCUCCUGCCCGCAGACAUCAGAGCUCCUGUUUUCAGGUCUUUGGACCCCAGAAUUCACAUCAACAUUCCUUCUGGUUCUCAGGCCUUUCAACUUUGACUGAAUUACAUCACCAGCUUCCCUGGUUCUCCUGCUUGCAGAUGGCAGAUUCUUGGCUUCAUAAUCUUGUCCUUCUCCAGAAUUCAGACAACUCUGAAAAUCCAAGUCUGUUGCUAGAAGAUAUCUCACCCUAAGAACACAUAAUUUUGGUGCCCUAAUUUUAUAUGAGGUGCUUAGUCAGCAGAACUUCCCAGCACCUAUACCAGCAAACAAAUUAGAUUGAUAUUAUCAAGUACUGUUGGUCGUGUGAGACAAUGGAUACUUUCAUAUACACCUUUUGGGAAUUUAACAUGAUGUAGAGUUUUUAAAACUGCAAACAGAUUCUACUGACAAAACUGUAAGUGCAAGUAUUCUUCCACUAACCAAAACUGAGUGAGUACCUAUGUCAGAUCAAUAGUGUGUGUGUGU